rnacentral:antisense_RNA from 1 species
AAAUUAACACAGGUCCCAGGGCUGAGAUUUUCCAUGUUUAGUUUCAACCCAAAGGAAAAUUCUGUUAGAAAGUUGAAAUAGUGUGACUAUUUUUAAAUAACGAGACAUGGGGCCAUAGUGUCAGCACACUCGAAAAGGUAAAAAAACAUUUGUAACUUGCUUUCUUCCACCCUUCCCUUCAAUUCAGAUGGAGAGACUGCAGAAGAAAAUAAGGGAAGUUAACACUUCAUUCAGCACUUGCCAAAUGUCAGGAACUUGCUUUAUCCUAGACCAGCAGUUCUCAACUAUGCACCGUGGGACAUCUCUCUGCCAUAUCUUGCAUCACACUUGGAUGGUGUAAUGGAAAUAACAUUAGACUGGGAGUCAGGAGACGGGUUCCAGCAGAAGGGAAGAAGAAGUCUCAGAGUGGAAUAUUGCAACAUCCCAUAUUCUCCCGAGAAGGGCUGCUGGAUUCCCUUGCUGAUGAGGAAUUACCAUGGGGUCACCUUGCUACAUGGUUCAUCACUGUCAUCUCUCCCUUCAGAAAAAUUAAAUCAUUCAAAGGUCA